UACGAAGGGGGCGAGCGUUGUUCGGAAUUACUGGGCGUAAAGGGCGCGCAGGCGGCUCAGACAGUCAGAUGUGAAAGCCCCGGGCUUAACCUGGGAACUGCAUUUGAUACUACUGAGCUUGAGUACGGGAGAGGAUAGUGGAAUUCCCGGUGUAGCAGUGAAAUGCGUAGAGAUCGGGGGGAACAUCAGUUGCGAAGGCGGCUCUCUGGACCAGCACUGACACUGAGGCACGAAAGCGUGGGGAGCAAACAGG
rnacentral:rRNA from 1 species